GCCUGGUUAGCUCAAAUGGUAGAGCGGCUGCCUCAGAAUAGUGGUAGUCCCGGGUUCGAGCCCCGGACCAGGACG